rnacentral:rRNA from 1 species
AUGGACAUGCCAACUACCUCCCCGGGGCAAAGCUUGUGGUCAAGGUCAACCCUUAUCUUAUGGUUGCUGGGUUUUCAUUCAGACAAUGUCAACAUCAAGGCCACAACAGUGCUGCAUAAUCCACUAAGUAUUCUAUGGAGCUCUAGAAGAAAAGCCAAGGCACUGCAUGGAAACUGCAAAGCAAACUUAUGGUGGGAUGUAAGAUCAGUAGAAAAAAAACCUACAGUUUCUCUUCUUUUUUUGAGGGGGCCUGCAUUUUCUCUCACACAGAAAGAAAUAGGAAAAACGAAAAGAAAAACAAUUGCGUAA